UUAGCUUGGUGGCGUAAGUGCCUGCCUUGCAAGCAGGCAGUCGUGAGUUCGAUCCCUCAUA
rnacentral:tRNA from 1 species